ACGGAAAAAAAAAGCUUCAGCCGCAAGAUGAAGGAACGAUCCCCCCUUCCUGAAACCUGAUCUUCUUCUUAAUGCACAACACAACAGACGGCCCCUCUAAAGAUCAUCGUCUUGGCAGCUCCUAAAAUCAACGACCCCAAUCUCCAAAUCUCCAUAGUUGUAGACCCAACCCCAUCGGAUCUCUAUCUCAUCGACACCCAUCAAAACCCAGCAACAACACCCUAGAAGCAAGAAAAAAUUGACCGCACCCCAUCGACUCGCCAGAUUUAGCAACAAAAACAACCGGAAUUCACUCCAUCUCCCCCACGCCAGAGACAUCAGCACACACACACAAGAAUAGAUAAUAAAAUUGAAAAUUUGAGCGUAAAAUUCAGGCUGAUUUUUGGAUAGAAUUGAAAAACGAGGCCCC
rnacentral:lncRNA from 1 species